rnacentral:rRNA from 1 species
AACGAACGCUGGCGGCGUGCCUAACACAUGCAAGUCGAGCGAGAAAAUCCUCGCAAGGGGAUGAGUACAGCGGCGAACGGGUGAGUAACACGUGGGCGACCUGCCCCUCAGUCAGGAAUAACCCCGCGAAAGCGGGGCUAAUACCAGGUGACGUCCCGUGGGGUCAUCCUCGGGGGACCAAAGAUGGCCUCUGCAUGCCAGCUAUCGUUUGAGGAUGGGCCCGCGGUCCAUUAGCUAGUUGGUAGGGUAAUGGCCUACCAAGGCAACGAGGGUUAGCUGGUCUGAGAGGAUGGCCAGCCACACUGGAACUGAGACACGGUCCAGACUCCUACGGGAGGCAGCAGUGGGGAAUCUUGCGCAAUGGGGGAAACCCUGACGCAGCAACGCCGCGUGGGUGAUGAAGGCCUUCGGGUCGUAAAGCCCUGUCAGGUGGGAAGAAACCUGCGGAUGCUAAUAUCAUCCGCACUUGACGGUACCACCGGAGGAAGCACCGGCUAAUUCCGUGCCAGCCGCCGCCGUAAGAC